rnacentral:lncRNA from 1 species
GGAUCCUCCAAUCUUCGCUCCUCCAAUCUCCGCUCCUCCACCCAGUUCAGGAACCCGCGACCGCUCGCAGCGCUCUCUUGACCACUAUGAGCCUCCUGUCCAGCCGCGCGGCCCGUGUCCCCGGUCCUUCGAGCUCCUUGUGCGCGCUGUUGGUGCUGCUGCUGCUGCUGACGCAGCCAGGGCCCAUCGCCAGCGCUGGUCCUGCCGCUGCUGUGUUGAGAGAGCUGCGUUGCGUUUGUUUACAGACCACGCAAGGAGUUCAUCCCAAAAUGAUCAGUAAUCUGCAAGUGUUCGCCAUAGGCCCACAGUGCUCCAAGGUGGAAGUGAGCCUCCCUGAAGAACGGGAAGGAAAUUUGUCUUGAUCCAGAAGCCCCUUUUCUAAAGAAAGUCAUCCAGAAAAUUUUGGACGGUGGAAACAAGGAAAACUGAUUAAGAGAAAUGAGCACGCAUGGAAAAGUUUCCCAGUCUUCAGCAGAGAAGUUUUCUGGAGGUCUCUGAACCCAGGGAAGACAAGAAGGAAAGAUUUUGUUGUUGUUUGUUUAUUUGUUUUUCCAGUAGUUAGCUUUCUUCCUGGAUUCCUCACUUUGAAGAGUGUGAGGAAAACCUAUGUUUGCCGCUUAAGCUUUCAGCUCAGCUAAUGAAGUGUUUAGCAUAGUACCUCUGCUAUUUGCUGUUAUUUUAUCUGCUAUGCUAUUGAAGUUUUGGCAAUUGACUAUAGUGUGAGCCAGGAAUCACUGGCUGUUAAUCUUUCAAAGUGUCUUGAAUUGUAGGUGACUAUUAUAUUUCCAAGAAAUAUUCCUUAAGAUAUUAACUGAGAAGGCUGUGGAUUUAAUGUGGAAAUGAUGUUUCAUAAGAAUUCUGUUGAUGGAAAUACACUGUUAUCUUCACUUUUAUAAGAAAUAGGAAAUAUUUUAAUGUUUCUUGGGGAAUAUGUUAGAGAAUUUCCUUACUCUUGAUUGUGGGAUACUAUUUAAUUAUUUCACUUUAGAAAGCUGAGUGUUUCACACCUUAUCUAUGUAGAAUAUAUUUCCUUAUUCAGAAUUUCUAAAAGUUUAAGUUCUAUGAGGGCUAAUAUCUUAUCUUCCUAUAAUUUUAGACAUUCUUUAUCUUUUUAGUAUGGCAAACUGCCAUCAUUUACUUUUAAACUUUGAUUUUAUAUGCUAUUUAUUAAGUAUUUUAUUAGGAGUACCAUAAUUCUGGUAGCUAAAUAUAUAUUUUAGAUAGAUGAAGAAGCUAGAAAACAGGCAAAUUCCUGACUGCUAGUUUAUAUAGAAAUGUAUUCUUUUAGUUUUUAAAGUAAAGGCAAACUUAACAAUGACUUGUACUCUGAAAGUUUUGGAAACGUAUUCAAACAAUUUGAAUAUAAAUUUAUCAUUUAGUUAUAAAAAUAUAUAGCGACAUCCUCGAGGCCCUAGCAUUUCUCCUUGGAUAGGGGACCAGAGAGAGCUUGGAAUGUU